CCACGGUUGGCGAACGCGAAUCUUUCAAACCUGUUUGUUUUCGCGCAAAACACAACUAUCCAGGAUUACUUCAGAACUAACACAACAACUAACGUAACAGGCUUGUGACUGCAUUAACACAUGAUCUCGACAACUUGAACUUACUUCUGGCGCGUUUUCAUAGCUCUGCAAAAUAUAAUAAUCUAAGUAUAAUUUACGUACUUGGAUAGAGUAUUUGCUAUACGCAUUAUCCAGUCGUGAACGAGUCCUAAUUUGUGUGCCGAAGCCGCAGAAGCCUUCAUCAGGGAAGCAUGGUGACCAUUCAUACCAAUCACUAAACGUGCAAUGCUCGCUUCCAAGCUUGGAUUCCAGUAUUCUCGGCUCUUCUAUCGGCUCCCUGUACAAAAUGAUUCUUCAUGUGGGCAGAUGUCGCCGUGAAACAGGAAUUGGAAUAGUAUUGCAAGUGAUGAACGCGUUUUUGCUCGACUUGGAUUUCAAUGACGACGAAUCCUCAUUUAUGGAGAGACAUUAGAAAACGCGCACAUACAAGAUGUUGUAGCGAUUAAAGUUGUGUUACGCACCGUAGUUCAGAUCCUGCAAGAAUGACUUAGAGAUAACCUCUCUGUCUUCCUUAAUAGUUUUAAGAUAACUUGAUUUUGUAGUUUUACACUAUAAGUUGACAAACAAGGAAGCAACCUUAAUUCACCAAGAUGACCACUGUCCACAGACAUCCGUAUUUGCAGUUCGUUGCCUUUAAUAAAUUGCAAAACAGACGUUAUCCUAAGCUUAAUAAACAAAAGCUUUUCUAAAACGACUGUAAUGCGUUUCUAGAACAAAUUAUUUACUUUGUCGAGUAUAAUGGCUAAAGUUGGAACAGAGCCAAGAAGGAUUUACUGUGAUUUUAUUAUCUUACUUGAUACACUUUCGUGAGUUAAGAACUAAUCGCAUAAUUUACAAACAGCUUGUUCUUUAGAUAGCCAAAAAUUGUUAAAGCCAUGUUUAAAAUUUCAUACAAAUAGCUUGGUAAAAAAUAUAAUUUAAACCAUCUGAUUUGAAACUCAAAAUUAAUAAAUCAAUUUGUAAUUAUUGUCGCUGUUAAUCCAUGAAUACAAGAUUUAAUUAAAUAUCGUGUAUUUUCAUGUGUGCAGAAGGUUUUACAAAUAACAUGACGGAUAACGUGGGCAAGGCUUGACGUGACAUGAAAUACGUUUGCUGAUUAUGCACAAAUCCCUGACGCUAAUUACACUCUGCAUUUGUUGUCAUUAAUACCCAUUGCUGUUAAAAUGUGUGUUUACACAAUGUCGAUAUUUAAUUUAAGAAAUUGUAAAUAAAUGCUUUGCUUUUUAAUUGGCA